rnacentral:rRNA from 1 species
UCGAACGCUGAAGCUUGGUGCUUGCACUGGGUGGAUGAGUGGCGAACGGGUGAGUAAUACGUGAGUAACCUGCCCUUGACUCUGGGAUAAGCCUGGGAAACUGGGUCUAAUACUGGAUAUGACCUCCUGUCGCAUGGUGGGGGGUGGAAAGGGUUUGUACUGGUUGUGGAUGGGCUCACGGCCUAUCAGCUUGUUGGUGGGGUAAUGGCCUACCAAGGCGACGACGGGUAGCCGGCCUGAGAGGGUGACCGGCCACACUGGGACUGAGACACGGCCCAGACUCCUACGGGAGGCAGCAGUGGGGAAUAUUGCACAAUGGGCGCAAGCCUGAUGCAGCGACGCCGCGUGAGGGAUGACGGCCUUCGGGUUGUAAACCUCUUUCAGCACGGAAGAAGCGAAAGUGACGGUACGUGCAGAAGAAGCGCCGGCUAACUACGUGCCAGCAGCCGCGGUAAUACGUAGGGCGCAAGCGUUGUCCGGAAUUAUUGGGCGUAAAGAGCUCGUAGGCGGUUUGUCGCGUCUGCUGUGAAAGCCCGGGGCUUAACCCCGGGUGUGCAGUGGGUACGGGCAGACUUGAGUGCAGUAGGGGAGACUGGAACUCCUGGUGUAGCGGUGAAAUGCGCAGAUAUCAGGAAGAACACCGAUGGCGAAGGCAGGUCUCUGGGCUGUUACUGACGCUGAGGAGCGAAAGCAUGGGGAGCGAACAGGAUUAGAUACCCUGGUAGUCCACGCCGUAAACGUUGGGCACUAGGUGU